GUGUUUCUUAGUGUUUUUUGAGUGGUUUGGUUAGGUUUUGGGUGGUUUUGGUCGGGUUGGUCUUGGUUUUGAGUGUUCUUGAGUGGGUUAGGGUUAGGUUAUAUAGAUAAAUGCGAAGAGUGCCUCCCCCCGAAGUGCCUCCCCCCCCUUAUCUCGGGUACCAUAAGUCCUAGAGUGCUGAAACUUGGUGGGUAUACUAAUUAGGGAGUGGGCUUUCGAAUGCACCCAGUGCCGUCUCUCUAGCGCCACCAGGCGCCGAGAUAUGGUACUGCUCCAUUACUUGAGUUUUGGUGUGCUAGGGCUAUGGUUGAGUUUCUUAGUUCCAGCCCUAGAGUCGAGUUUCUCUAUGUGGCUGGUUGUGACUUAGUCAAAUGGGUUGGACUUAGUGUUUUUUGAGUGGUUUGGUGUUGGUUUUUAGUGUUCUUGAGUGGUUUUGAGUGGUUUUUGAGUGUUUCUGAGUGUUCUUUGAGUGGUUAGGGUUAGGUUAGGUUAGGGUUAGGGUUAGGUUAGGGUUAGGGUUAGGGUUAGGUUAGGGUUAGAGUUAGGGUUAGGUUAGGGUUAGGGUUAGGGUUAGGGUUAGGGUUAGGGUUAGGGUUAGGGUUAGGGUUAGGGUUAGGGUUAGGGUUAGGGUUAGGGUUAGAGUUAGAGUUAGGGUUAGGGUUAGGGGUUAGGGUUAGGGUUAGGGUUAGGGUUAGGGUUAGAGGGUUAGGGUUAGGGUUAGGGUUAGGGUUAGGGUUAGGGUUAGGGUUAGGGUUAGGGUUAGGGUUAGGGUUAGGGUUCGGGUUAGGGUUAGGGUUAGGGUUAGGGUUAGGGUUAGGGUUAGUGUUAGGGUUAGGGUUAGGGUUAGGGUUAGGGUUAGGGUUAGGGUUAGGGUUAGGGUUAGGGUUAGGGUUAGGGUUAGGGUUAGGGUUAGGGUUAGGGUUAGGGUUAGGGUUAGGGUUAGGGUUAGGGUUAGG
ensembl:lncRNA